AAACUUCUUAAUUGCGAUCAUAAUAACAGAAAUGGACGCGUACGAAGUCGCGGGCAACAGCUAGUAAUAACAUAAAAGAUAAGUCCAGAAUAAAGUAUA